UGUAAGCGUAUACCAAAGUUGUUGCAGUUAAAACGCUCGUAGUCGGAAUUUGGCAGUUCCGGAUGUGUGCGCGUCGUGUGCGCACUUCGCGGGGAUUGCUUUUGUGGUCUUGCGUAGGAUGAGGCACUUUUAUUAGUGAACGUCCUCACGCAACCACUUUUUACUGUGAGAAAAUCAGAGUGCUCAAAGCAGGCAUUUGCCGUGAAUGUAUUAGCAUGGAAUAAUAGAAUAGGACUUGGUUCUAUUUUGUUGGUUUGUUGGGACUGAGUAAUGAUUAAGAGGGACAGUUGGGGGCAUUUGUAUUUCGGUGCUAGAGGUGAAAUUCUUAGAUUACCGAAAGACAAACUGCUGCGAAAGCGUCUGCCAAGGACGUUUUCAUUGA
rnacentral:rRNA from 1 species